CUUAACACAGAGAAUAGCUCUGUUCCCGAGUUCCUCUCUUCUCCUUCGGGCUGGAGCGGGGUCCGUGAAGUCAGGAGCAAAGCUGCUGGACUGGCAUGGGGCGCCUGGAAUCAAGGCAAAGGCUGGACAGGGAUGCUCUAGCGGUUUCUUGGGCUGAGCAGAGCGUUGGGCUAGACAACCUCCAAGGUCCCUUCCAGCUCUAGCAUUGUAUGAUUCUGGCUAGAAGAUGUCGAAGAAGAAAGGCACUUAGCAGAUGCCCAUGGGAACAGCAUUCCACACCUGAGGGGCCACAGCAGAGAAAGCCCUGCUCCAGAAGACACCCACCUGACUCCCAAAGGAAGUGGUAUGCAAAGCAAGGAGAUCAAAGAUGACCUUAACAACAGGCAGAUUCAUCUGUAUCCAUGGAAUGGAUAAUUCCAUAACAGUAAUAAAAAUACUUCCCAGUCAAGGUAUAUCCAGGUAAUUAUACAGAUAAUUGUUACAUUUCAGUACCAAGAAGCACUUGAAAGCACACAAUUAUCUAUGACAGAGACUGCAAUGGAAACAGCUAAUUACUUCACUAAAAAAAUUCUUGUUUCCAUCUUGUAUCAACAUGAGGGGAGUAAGUGUGCCUGGAAGCCCACAGAUUGUUAUGAAGAUCUGGAGGGGCACAGAGGAGUUGCCACCAAAAUGUGCCUCCAACAAAACUCUGACUGCAUUUGUGGGAUGAUCCGAAGGGGGGGAAAGGAGGACGUUUAAGGAAAACAUGUAUCCAACAGAUCACUCCACAGAGCACAUUUGAAGAUCCAUGCUCUGGCAGUGUGGACGGCAAAGAAAUUAUUCCUCUUUGCCCGUAUUGCUUCUGCAAAUUCAUAUCCAGCUGAGUUGUCUAGGGUUGGGAGGGGGCUAGUAUGUACCCCCUCCCCCUUGAAUUUGAAUUUGGAACUAUUGAUCAUUUGCUGUGACAUUUUAAAUCACUGUUUUGCAGAUAAAAUUUCCCAUAUCUGGGCUGAGUUGAAUUCCACAGUUCCUGCAGAAUCUAUUGUGGAGGUAUCCAGCAAUUCCUCUUAUGAGAUUAGAUUGGAUCACUUUCGGUGUGACUCCUGAGGAAGUGGACAAACUGCUUUGGAUUGUGGGUCCUUCAACGUGUUCUCUUGAGCCUUGACCAACUGGUAGUUGUAUUAUUUUAUUUACCGGACCCUCUCUGGUAAAUAUUAUAAAUGCUUCUUUGAGGGAGGGUAGGAUGGCUCUUUGUCUUAAGGAGGCUACUAUUAGAAUUUAUUUGAAGAACUCAGAAUUUGAUCCCUUAACCAAUUAUAGACCCCUCUCCAACCUUCCAUGGUUGGGCAAGAUGACUGAGUGGGUGGUGGCCUCUCAGCUCCAGGCAGUUCUGGAUGAUGCAGAGUAGCUAGACCCAUUUCAAACUGGCUUUUGAGUGGGCUAUGGGGUUGAGACUGCCUUGGUCGACCUGAUGGAUGAUCUCCAAUUGGAUGCUGACAGUGUGACUCUGCUGAUCCUUUUGAAUCUCAUGGCGGCUUUCGAUACCAUCAACCAUGGUAUCCUUCUGGGUCACCUGAGGGAGGUGAGAUUGGAUGACACUGUUUUACAGUGGUUCUGUUCCUAUCUCUCCAGUAGAUUCCAGAUGGUGUCGCUUGGAGAUUGCUGCUCUACAAAGCAAGUACUAAAGUAUGGAGUUCCACAAGGCUCCAUACUGUCUCCAAUGCUCUUUGAGAUCUACAUGAAACUGCUGGGAGAGAUCAUCAGGAGAUUGGGUGCAGGGUGUUAUCAAUAUACUGAUGACAUCCAAAUCUAUUUCUCUAUAUCAACCUCAUCAGGAAAUGUCAUAACUUCCCUUAAUGACUGCCUGGAGGUGGUAAUGGGCUGGAUGAGGGAUAAUAAACCAAAGUUGAAUCCAAAUAAGGUGGUAGUACUGAAUGUGGGAGGUUGGGAUCCAAGAGAUGGUUUAGAUCUGCUUGUUCUGGUUCUGGUUACACUCCCCCUGAAUGAUCAGGUAUGUAGCUUGCAAAUGCUCCUGAAUCCAAAACUCUCUCCAGUUUCUCAGGUUGAGGCAGUGGCUAGGAGCACUUUUUAUCAGCUUUGGCUGAUAUGUCAGGUACACCCAUUUGUGGUGGUAAAUGACCUUAAAACAGUGGUGCAUAUGCAGGUAACCUCCAGGCUUAAUUGCUGUAAUGCGCUCUACGUGGAGCUGCCCUUGUACACAGUAAAGAAACUACCAUUGGCACAGAAUGUGGCAGCCAGACUGGUCUCUGGGACAACUUGAAGGGACCAUAUAAUACUGAUUCUGAAAGAACUGCACUGGCUGCCGAUAUGUUUCUGAGUGAAAUACAGAAUCCUGGUAAUUACCUAUAAAGCCCUCAACAGCUUGGAUCUAGGUUACUUAAGAGAAUGUCUUCUUUCUCAUCAACCCUCCCGCCUAUUAAGAUCACGUGGGGAGAUACAGUUAUGGUUGCCCAGCUCGUUUGGUGGCAACUUGGGACUGGGUCUUCUCUGUGGCUGCGGAAUAUGCCUGUCAAAAUAAGAGCAUCUCCAUCACUGAUUGCUUUUAGAAAGACCCUCAAGAAACACCUAUUUUCUCAGGCUUAGCUGAAAUUAAUUUUAAACAAUUGUUUUUGUCCUAUGAAAUUGUUUUAACUUUCUAUUCUGUGAAGUUGUUUUAUUUGUUUUUUCUCUUUUUUAUAUUUGUUGUUUUAAAUUGUGUGCACUUCCUAGAGAUAUACAGGUGGUAUAUAAAUAUGAAAGAAUGAAUAAAUAAAUCCAGAAGAAUUUCAGUAAGA